rnacentral:rRNA from 1 species
GAUGAACGCUGGCGGUGUGCUUAACACAUGCAAGUCGAACGGAAAGGUCCUGCUUUUGUGGGGUGCGCGAGUGGCGAACGGGGGAGUAACACGUGAGUACCCUGCCACUGACUGAGGGGUAACUUCAGGAAACUGGGGCCAAUACGGGAAAGGAGCAUCUGCUGCAUGUGGGGUGGCGGAUAGUUUCGGCGGUUGGGGAGGGACUCGCGGCUUAGCAGCCUGUUGGUGGGGUGGUGGCUUACCAAGGCUUUGACGGGUAGCCGGCCUGAGAGGGUGACCGGCCACACAGGGGCUGAGAUACGGCCCAGACUCCUACGGGAGGCAGCAGUGGGGAAUAUUGCACAAUGGGCGGGAGCGUGUUGCAGCAACGCAGCGUGCGGGAUAACGGCCUUCGGGUUGUAAACCGCUUUCGCCUGUGACGAGGAGUGAGUGACGGUAAUGAGUAAAGAAGCACCGGCUAACUACGUG